rnacentral:lncRNA from 1 species
GAAAUCCAUUGUGCCUUCUCUUGAUGGACGGUGAGUGCUGCCAGCCAAAGCCUGGGCUCCACACUGCCCAGCUGCCACCACCAGGGCUGGGAUAGGGAGAGCCUUUUCCCAUGCAAGGGGCUCCCGGCAGAUUCCCGGAGCUCCCAGCCCAUCCCGGCUGACCAGCAGAUGAUCCAGAGUGUUUCCCUACGAGAGGUGUGCUGGGGGAACGAAGGCCAGGACACGAGAUCGCUCAGAGAAGCCAAGAGCCCGUGGAGGACACAAGCUGUCUGACACUAGAGAGCAACGAUGGGUUACAACAGUAGCAGGCACCAGAACCCCCGCGCAAUAAGGCAUUAUCUCCAUGUGUUGCUGAAUGGAUGUGACCCUCUUUAGAGUAAUAGGCGGCAUCGCAGGAAAAGAUUGCCGAGAAAUAUCCUGUGUGCAAAUGGGAAUAGCUGUAAAUAAAAAGCUCUGUUAUGAACUCGAUAGAAUGCUUUAGCUAAUUUACACAGUUUUGUGCUACAAAAUCGCCCCGUGAUUCCAGAUUAAGCUCUAUAUGUAUGCAAAUGUCAUCAUCCACCCAUUCAGUGUCCAUACAAGGAUAUUUGCAUUAACAACCAUCUCUGAUUUGGGCAUCUGGUGGAGCUUGUUACCCGUGUUUAUGAAACCAUAGCAUCAAAUGUAAAAAACCCACAGUAUAUUUACCUAACGGUUCCACGCUGAGGGUAUGAGUUUACUUUCCAGACCCAUUUCUCUCCACUGCUGCUGUAAUGCAGUGGGAGUCCUGCCAGGCAGGAGGAGGGAAGGAAAAAUAUUUAUUUAGACUUUUGAUUGUGAUUCUGUUAAGAUUGGGGGUUUUAAUGUUUUACUGCAUCAUCGAUCAGGUUUGAAGUUACCAGUUAUGUGAACCACUAAAUACUUGAAGGAAUUUUGCCUUCAACUUUCUUUAGCUACAAAGGAAAUUGUUUGCCAGGGCAUGAAACCAAAAUAAUCAGGAUGGGGAGAAGGAAGGAGAGAAAAUAAAUAUCAUUAAUAGUAUGCAAACUAAUGAAAGAGGAGAGCAGAGUGCUCCGAGUUCUGUACAAAGCAGGUAACUUCUGCAAGCCAUAAACCACAGUUCUACAGGAAUAGUUGCUUUAAUGCACAAUACCCCCACUCCUUGCUCUUUAUAUAAACCUAGCAUGAUUAGAAGCAUGCUUUAUCAAUACAGUAACAGCUUGAUUCAACACUGAUUGCCAGAAAACCCCACUAUUUCAUAUUACUAGCUAUCCCACUUUGUCUAAAAGCUUCUGCUUAACCUUGUUAGCUGACAUGCUAUUCUACAGAUGCUGAUUUCUAGCAAUCUUGCAGUUACAGCGCAUUUCCCACUUGUAUUUCCCCAGAAAUGGCGGGCAAAGGGCUUUUCUUUUAAGCCCAGUGGCUCAACAUGCAACCAAAUUGCAGCUCUCCCGAAAUCCAGAGUCCUACACUCUAUUUUUGCUAGCGGAUCAUCUAUCACAGGAAUGGGGUUCGAGUUGUGUCAGCCGCUGUGCCCCUAAAUCUGUUCUUAACAUGCAAAGUACAGCAGACGUGCUGUGUGUAUAUAUGUACAUAACUGAUUUAACCUAAAUGAGAUUUUACAAUGCAAUUACACCAUACUUGCACUCGAGCACACAGACAAAAUGCAUAUGUACAGGAGCCUGUUUGCAAGCUUUUUUUACACUGAAAUGGCACAGUUGAUAACACUUCCAUGUCAUUGUCUUGGUUACCAUGUUUUAUUCUGCUCAAGUGAGUUAAACUACUCAACAACAGGCUGAAAUAUUUUAUUCCUUGAUAGGUGGCCAAUUUUGAUCUCCUCUGAACCAAAUUUAAGCGGUGUGAUUCCAAGCAAUUACUCUAAUGUAGAAAGCGAGAAUAAAUUCAAGUGUGUUUCUCUCAGCCCUUUUUGAAUAAAUCAAGUUUUAUCAAA